rnacentral:rRNA from 1 species
AUUGAACGCUGGCGGCAUGCCUUACACAUGCAAGUCGAACGGCAGCGGGGGAGAAGCUUGCUUUUCCUGCCGGCGAGUGGCGAACGGGUGAGUAAUACAUCGGAACGUGCCCUGUAGUGGGGGAUAACGCACCGAAAGGUGUGCUAAUACCGCAUACGCCCUGAGGGGGAAAGUGGGGGACCGCAAGGCCUCACGCUAAUCGAGCGGCCGAUGUCGGAUUAGCUAGUUGGUGGGGUAAAGGCCUACCAAGGCGACGAUCCGUAGCGGGUCUGAGAGGAUGAUCCGCCACACUGGGACUGAGACACGGCCCAGACUCCUACGGGAGGCAGCAGUGGGGAAUUUUGGACAAUGGGGGCAACCCUGAUCCAGCCAUGCCGCGUGUCUGAAGAAGGCCUUCGGGUUGUAAAGGACUUUUGUCCGGGAGGAAACCCUGGUCGUGAACAACGGCCGGGACUGACAGUACCGGAAGAAUAAGCACCGGCUAACUACGUGCCAGCCGCCGCUGUAA